AGAGCGAACGCUGGCGGCAGGCCUAACACAUGCAAGUCGAGCGCCCCGCAAGGGGAGCGGCAGACGGGAGAGUAACACGUGGGAACGUACCCUUCAGUUCGGAACAACCCAGGGAAACUUGGGCUAAUACUGGAUACGUCCGUAAGGAGAAAGAUUUAUCGCUGAAGGAUCGGCCCGCGUCUGAUUAGCUAGUUGGUGGGGUAAUGGCCCACCAAGGCGACGAUCAGUAGCUGGUCUGAGAGGAUGAUCAGCCUCAUUGGGACUGAGACACGGCCCAAACUCCUACGGGAGGCAGCAGUGGGGAAUAUUGGACAAUGGGCGCAAGCCUGAUCCAGCCAUGCCGCGUGGAUGAUGAAGGCCUUAGGGUUGUAAAGUCCUUUCGGCGGGGAAGAUAAUGACGGUACCCGCAGAAGAAGCCCGGCUAACUUCGUGCCAGCAGCCGC
rnacentral:rRNA from 1 species